UUAGGUUUACCUUUUUCCCUCUAUUUUCUUUGAUGUUCAAUUGUUACAGCCUUAUAGGUGGCUUUCAUGCACUUCUUUUGAUCUUUGUUCAUCCUUUGCCUUGGCAAUAGAACUUCAUGCUUCAUCUUUGUUCUUCUCAAAGUACUCUUGCAAUUUCCAGCCUUUCAUCUUCGAGCUUCUCCAAGUACAACCUUUUCAUCUUCAAUCUUCUCCUAAAACUGCUUCAAUUUUGAGGUUUCGUGGAUAUGCUCUAUUUCUUAUGUCCAAUGGGCCAAGUCAGUUCUAUAAGUGUGGACUCAAAAAGAGUGCAUUUAGCAAAUGAAUGGUUACAACAACACCAAUAUGCAAAGCGAUUUUGGUCCUUCAAGAAUUAGGAUAUCAUGGGGCUAAAAUGCCUUUUGGAUAUAGUUGUUGGAGUAACCUUAGCACUUCUACAUAGUAAUGAUUACUCUUUGCAUUAGGUUGGAUGGUUUGUUUUGCUGGCCAACUUGAGUUUAUUGUGGUGCCAAUUGACAGAGAAAUUAAAACUCAUAGAAAGCCUGAAGUUCAUCCACAACUGCUAACAGUUCCAAAUGCCCAGACAACAAAGAAGAAGUGGUAUUUGUUAUAGAUCCGUACAUUGAUCACAUACUUCUUAUCUCACCUGCUGCAUUCUCAAUACAUAUUUGACUACAAAGGUUUAUAUUUUAUUUAUAGUUAUCUAUUUAUGUUGCUGUGAUUGGUGAAACAUACAACGAGCUUCAUACAUGUAACACUUUAAUAUUUUGGUGUUGGCUUU